UUACGUCCAUAUUACAUUGGAACACCGGCUCCCGUACGAUCACCGAAGUUAAGCAACGUCGAGCCUGGUCAGUACCUAGAUGGGUGACCGCUUGGGAUUACCAGUUGC